GACGAACCGUGCGAACGUUGUUCGGAAUCACUGGGCUUAAAGGGCGCGUAGGCGGCUGCGCAAGUCCGGGGUGAAAGCCCCCAGCUCAACUGGGGAAGUGCCUCGGAUACUGCACAGCUUGAGGGAGGUAGGGGCGGAUGGAACUUCCGGUGGAGCGGUGAAAUGCGUUGAUAUCGGAAGGAACGCCGGUGGCGAAAGCGAUCCGCUGGCCCUCUACUGACGCUGAGGCGCGAAAGCCAGGGGAGCAAACGGG
rnacentral:rRNA from 1 species